rfam:Pteropus alecto contig11979, whole genome shotgun sequence.
AAUGAAUGAUGACAAAAUGUUUUGGUCUCAUGAUAAUAUAUUGAUUAUAUCAUUAUAUUUAUUUCUGAUAUU